GGCCGCGUAGCUCAGUUGGCAGAGCAUUGGGCUAGUAUUCCAAAGGUCGUAGGUUCGAUUCCCACCGUGGCCG